UCUUGUACCAGUCGGGCACAUUGAGCCGUUGCAACGAUCGUUGCACCCUAAGCUCGUGCUCGCUCGGCACGCGCUCGCCCACUUUCUGCAGCUCAUUCUCCGGCGGCUGCAACGACAAAUUCACAUUCAUAUUUUUCAACGUUUCCUCAGCUGAUCACGGGCGAUUAUGAGGAUUCUCGUGAUAAAUUGGAAGACGUAUUUACUCACGUUUUUGACAGCUAUAUCGGUUCCCGUUUCGCGAUCUGUCGCUGUUAGCUGCUCCUUCAUAUUUUUUCAUUGUCUCGACUUCAAUGCUAAUCGCGCGACACGGACGGCCACAUAACGGAUGCACGUGACGAACGUGCGUGUGAUUUUCAUGCGCGCAGUAUAACGGGACUAAAUCAGAAAGCGAAUGGCUUCCACUCGUCCCCACGGCUGUCUUCUCUUCAUUAUCGAGCGAGGGAGCGGUUCGCCGGUUGUGCACGCACGUGUGCGCGUAUCGGCCCAAGGAAAAUAUUUUCCGAGACAUCUUGGACCGUUAAAUUUUCAUCCGCGCGCGUAGGGUAAGACGCGCUUCAUAAAUAUUUCCUCGACUGAAACUCCCAAUCCCUAAUAGCGCCUUAAGAAGCGAGCGAAGAUAGAAGCAGUGGUAUUCUCAGCGUUCAUUAAAAUCAUCUCGCGAAGAAGUUAAAACUAGCCCGCGAGAAUGACGAAGUUUCAUUAAAAUCCGAGCGCUUUUCCGUUAAAAUUGCAAUUAAAAUAGACUUUUAAAUAAUUCAACCGAAAAAGCGUGAAAUCCCAAUCUAGAAAUGAGCUCUAUAUGAUUAAUAUAUAGGAGAUGGACAAAAUAAUGUGAAAUGCACUACUUUUUUUUUUAAUUAAUAAGGAUUAAUUUACCAUUUGUCUUCAAUAGAAAUUUUUAUUCUCGUUUGGAAUAAAGUCAUGCCAUGCUCAAAUAGUCAUCAAUGGAAAGUUUUACUAUUUUCUUUUUAAUGGAAUAUCUUUAAAUUGAUUAUAUUAUAUAAAUGAGAUGUUGGAAAAAGAAGUCUGCUUGUCACACUGUUUUCCACUAUUGCUCUCUGUUUUGCAAAACGUCAACGUUUUUCUUAGACGACGUAACCGCCUGAUUUAAAUAUUAUCUAGUCAUUGUGAGCAGUUUUGAAGAGCAGAACGAAAAAAAACAGAUUCCAAAGAGCUCUUAGAAGAUAUUCUGCUGGAAGAAGGUGUAACAUUACAUUGGCGACUAUUUAAGCGUUACAUUAUCUUGUUUCAAAUAAGUAAGAAUAAAAUCCGAGUGGAUAUUUAAAAAAAAUGGACCAACCUCUUAUUAAUGAAACGAGUGCAUGAAAAAAAUAUAUUUUUUUCUGAAAUACAGAUCUGAAAACAAUCAUGUUGAACUAUUUAAAAAAUUGCAUCGAAUGUUUAAUUUGUUUGUCGGAAUACCAAAACUGUAGCAGCAUUAUCAUGCUUCGGCGUAAUAAUUAUUUUGAUUGCCCAACAUGUAAAUUAUUUUCUGAUCUGUAUCUAGUUAAAUUUUUAGCCUGCAAUAAAGUUGUUCUUCGAUUCUUGUGUGUGUAUGUGUGUGUGUCUCCCAGGUGUUUCAUUAUUUUUGUUUACGCUAUGUACAUGCUUUUUUGCCAAACUUUGUUUCUCGAUAAACCAAUCUUCAUUGAGGCGGCAAGAUAAGCGAAUAUGAAUAAUAUCUAGUUAUUUUUGAUGGCAAAAAAUUGAGGCCAUAGCUUUUGGUCGGCUUCCCAAUCCCGCGGACGCGAAACGGACAGCGGGUGAUGCAGGUUUCGGAGUAUGAGGCCAAGGCUGAGCCAUGUGAGCGGGAUAGGAAUGAUCCGCGUGCGGAAAUGUGAGGGGCGUUUACGUAAUGCGAAUGGGAAGAACAAGCGGUAAGCGGCGUUCGCUUCAUAGAAUCGAUUUCGUGAGUCGCUAAAUCUCUUAUAAGCCAAAGUCGCCGCAAAUGUCCGAAAUGAUGAAACCCGCGAGGUAGCGAAACCCUCCGGCGACCUUCCCGCAACAUACGUAUAUCGCGCAACCUUUGGAAAUUUUAUCAAAAUCUGAACGUGUCCCUUCCAUCUUGUACCUCUAAUAAAAUUAUAAUGCGAAGAUUGACAUGGUUGGACGAUGGGUCUGGAAAUCGAGCUCUAUCGAUGCGACGAAAAAUAGAACGAGAUUAAAAUAGAACGGGCUUGGCGGAGAAGGAAAUCAAAGUGACAUUAAGAAGGCACUAUCCCGAUUAAAAAGAAAAAAGAAAAAAAAAAGAAUACAUCGCGGUUCGAUAUCGCGUUGCGAUCGGAGGACGCGUUGCAUAACGGGCGUCUCGGGUGUCGGGGACACGGAGAUGCAAUAAUGCUAAUUUCAAUUACGACAGGCCGUCGUCUUUUCCGUCACCACGUCAUCGCGUUGUCCCCGUCAAUUGACAUGAAUUAGGGGAAAGCCACGUCAAAGAUGGCGCGGUGCAUCUGCCAUUAAGGCGGCCAAAGACCCCGCGCGCCUCUCUCGCUGCAAGUGCAUGUGCAUCGCGCGUCGAUGCAUCCUGUUCUCGCUGCAUUCGCGAGUGCACAGCCGGCGUCGCCCACGAUAUUCCGACGAUGUCGAAAAGUACUCGUCGCUCUGCGCGAAAUCUCUCAAACGCAACGACUUUUAAAUCUACGCGUGCAAAAAAAAAAAAGAAAAAAACAACGAAAAUGUUUCAAUUGUCAUAUUUGCACGUAAUUUUCGAUAAUUGACAUGUUGUUGAGUCACGACGUGGUAUAAUAAAAUGCCAAUUAAGCGAUUUUUCAGUAGCAAAUUUAAUCCAGUAGCACACUGGCUAUCCUUUCGAUUAGAUUUUCACAAUUUUUCCGGCUUCGUGCAAACUUGAGAAUAAUUACCGCUCCUCGUUUAUUGACGCGCACUAUAGCCAUUUAGCCAUUUAGCCUAUGCUGUGGCAUGUUGACGAUCGCAUUAACCAUCGUUGAAAUUACAUACAUACGUACACGUGCAUAAAUUAUAGCGAGCGACAUAAUGCCGUGGAUAUAAUCCUAAUAGUCGUCCUAUAGCCGUAGGAAAAGAAGGAAAGCGAGCGGCGAUAGACUCGCCUUUUACCACUUAUUGUUAUACCACCAUCGAUUGCAAUUGUUUUCAAAGGUUGGCCUUAAUAAUGCACCCACCCACACCGAUACGACGGAAGUUGCGAAACUUUUCCUCGGCCGCGCGGAACUUUGAAAUCGCGAGCGACGGAAUCGUCUAAAUAAUUUCUGCCCGGCCUUAUCGCAGAAGCGUUGGCUGAAGGUGUAUUACGAACUAUGAUAACGAACUAUGCCGAGAAAAUGAAGACCGCUGGCGCGGCCAAGUAACCGAUAACACUUAUUGGUAAUUCGCAUGUGCAAAAAGAGGUAUGUUUCUUCGUACCUUUAAAAUGGCACGAAGUCAAUAUUGGAUUAGUUAAGUAACGUUUUAUUUUAAGAGACGAGGAAUCGAUGUGUGAGGUGUCCACUUCCCCCUCCCCCUCUCUCGACCUCUUAAUCAUCGGGAUUAUUUCUAUACUUGUGUUUUUAAAUUUUACGUUAUUUCACUUUGGGAAAAUUGCUGUUAUAAUUGAAUUGUGGCAAAUGUAAGUUGUCAUUUAUAUAACUGAGAAGAUUUGCUAAAGGUGUCAAUGCGCUUUUGACUAAAAUAUCGUGCGCGGCUCGCACAUGCGGCGCGCAUAUGCCCGCCGCGUGCGUGCAGAUACAUCGACGCAAGUGCUCGUAAAUACGUGCGAACGGACCCUUGUGCAACGGGGAACGGGGGGGGGGGAAAGGGAGGAAGGGAGGGAAGUC